UGAACGCUGGCGGCAGGCCUAACACAUGCAAGUCGAACGGUAGCACAGAGGAGCUUGCUCCUUGGGUGACGAGUGGCGGACGGGUGAGGAAUACAUCGGAAUCUACCCUGUCGUGGGGGAUAACGUAGGGAAACUUACGCUAAUACCGCAUACGAACUGAGGUUGAAAGCAGGGGACCGCAAGGCCUUGCGCGAUUGGAUGAGCCGAUGUCCGAUUAGCUAGUUGGUAAGGUAAAGGCUUACCAAGGCGACGAUCGGUAGCUGGUCUGAGAGGAUGAUCAGCCACACUGGAACUGAGACACGGUCCAGACUCCUACGGGAGGCAGCAGUGGGGAAUAUUGGACAAUGGGCGCAAGCCUGAUCCAGCCAUGCCGCGUGUGUGAAGAAGGCCUCGGUUGUAAGCACUUUGUUGGUAAGAAAGACGGUCGGCGUAAUACCCGGUCGUUCUGACGGUACCAACGAAUAAGCACCGGCUAACUCGUGCCAGCA
rnacentral:rRNA from 1 species